GGUCCCUUUAACUAGAAGCUGCGUCAUACACACGGAGCAUUUGGGAGACCACGAUGUCGUCUUCCUUCUGUCAGGAGGAUCCAAGUGAAGCUACAGGAGUAUGAUGAAGAGCAAGAAGGGCAGCCUGGAGAGAAAGAGGAGCCGGGUUGAGCCCACUACUCUCAUCCACGUACCACGAGGAAGAUGAGGGAGAGAAAUUAUCCUACCAUUAAAGAGACUGUGCAAAGAAUGUUGAGGUACAUCACCACUCUACAGGAAUACACAGUCCAGUAAUGUGUGUCAGAAGUUCAGUAGUGAACGACAGGUAGUACUGACGCAUUUACGGAGAUGGGACAUGAGGGCCUUGUCUGCGUGCCCAAGAGAAGAUUCCACAGAGUUCAAGCUGAGCAGGCUGCAGCAGGUUUGGAGGAAUCCUCCUCUGAAGAGGAAACAUGGCGAGGUUCUUCUCCACUGAUGAAGAAAUAUCUUCUCAAGAGAAGCUGCCUCAGCUCCACGGUCUCUCCUGCAGCCUCCACUCCUGAUGCUAACCCCCGGUCUCCAUCACACCAACCGGGCAGACCUGGAGUCACAGAACUUUGUCCAGAGCUGCCGUCUGAGAAUUGUUGAUCAUAUAAUUUUCAGCAGAUGCCUUAAUGUAAUGUUUGUGCACAAUAAAUGACAUUGAUCAUAA